rnacentral:sRNA from 1 species
UUUAAGACUCUGGAGGCCAAGAAUUUGACUUCCCCCAGAUCCAUGGUCUGUGGAUACCAAUGUUCUGACUGGAGACGGGGAGCCAGCGAGAUCCGGGGCUCCAGGGUCUGCCCAAGGAAGUUGCUCAUGGGAGCAGACCUCUAGAGCAGGAUUUGAGGCCAGGUCCAAGAGGAAAUGCCAGAGUGGACAGCAUAUCAGAUGAGUUCUAUAACAUUCCAGAGACAGGUAAGCUCCCUGUGGAAAGAAGGAUCAUGGAAGACUUCCUGGAGGAGGAGGACUUGAUGUAGAUUUUCUGCCAAUGAGCCCUGGAACCCCAGAGAUGAAAGGCCUCCUCCCACUGGCUUGGUUCCUGGCUUGUAGUGUGCCUGCUGUGCAAGGAGGCUUGCUGGACCUAAAAUCAAUGAUCGAGAAGGUGACAGGGAAGAAUGCCCUGACAAACUAUGGCUUCUACGGCUGUUAUUGCGGCUGGGGCGGCCGAGGAACCCCCAAGGAUGGCACCGAUUGGGUCUCACUCUGGUUGCCCAGGCUGGAGUGCAAUGGUGCGAUCUCAGCUCACUGCAUCCUCAACCUUCUGCACUCAGGUGCUGUUGGAUGCAUGACCACUGCUAUGGGCGGCUGGAAGAGAAGGGCUGCAACAUUCGGACACAGUCCUACAAAUACAGAUUCGCGUGGGGCGUGGUCACCUGCGAGCCCGGGCCCUUCUGCCAUGUGCAGCUCUGUGCCUGUGACCGGAAGCUCGUCUACUGCCUCAAGAGAAACCUACGGAGCUAUAACCCACAGUACCAAUACUUUCCCAACAUCCUCUGCUCCUAGGCCUCCCCAGCGAGCUCCUCCCAGACCAAGACUUUUGUUCUGUUUUUCUACAACACAGAGUACUGACUCUUCCUGGUUCCUGAGAGAGGCUCCUAAGUCACAGACCUCAGUCUUUCUCGAAGCUUGGAGGACUCC